GACGAACCCGUCCAAACGUUAUUCGGAAUCACUGGGCUUAGAGGGUGCGUAGGCGGCGCGGAAAGUUGGGUGUGAAAUCCCUCGGCUCAACCGAGGAAUUGCGCCCAAAACUACCGUGCUCGAGGGAGAUAGAGGUGAGCGGAACUUAGGGUGGAGCGGUGAAAUGCGUUGAUAUCCUAAGGAACACCGGUGGCGAAAGCGGCUCACUGGAUCUCUUCUGACGCUGAGGCACGAAAGCUAGGGUAGCAAACGGGAUUAGAACCUCCAGUC
rnacentral:rRNA from 1 species